UACGUAGGGCGCGAGCGUUGUCCGGAAUUAUUGGGCGUAAAGGGCUCGUAGGCGGUCUGUCACGUCGGGAGUGAAAACUCAGGGCUUAACCCUGAGCCUGCUUCCGAUACGGGCAGACUAGAGGUAUGCAGGGGAGAAUGGAAUUCCUGGUGUAGCGGUGAAAUGCGCAGAUAUCAGGAGGAACACCGGUGGCGAAGGCGGUUCUCUGGGCAUUACCUGACGCUGAGGAGCGAAAGUGUGGGGAGCGAACAGG
rnacentral:rRNA from 1 species